rnacentral:miRNA from 1 species
GACGUCGAAUAUCGACGUCAUAAACACCAAAGUUGAUCGUGUUUAUGACGUCGAAUAUCGACGUCAUAAACACCAAAGUUGAUCGUGUUUAUGACGUCGAAUAUCGACGUCAUAAACACCAAAGUUGAUCGUGUUUAUGACGUCGAAUAUCGACGUCAUAAAUACCAAAGUUGUUCGUGUUUAUGACGUCGAAUAUCGACGUC